GAACAAUCCUGCUUCCCAGGCUCCAGGAAUUUGCUCCUUUCCUCUACCCCAUCCUGCUCCCUUGGGGCCUUGAUCACUUUUCCUACCCUGACCUGCAGAUAGCCUUGUGGCUAAUGACUUUGUGUGCUAAUCCUCCCCCAGGUGUGUCCCAGAGGGCACCUGGAGAGCGGUAGUGGGGUCUCAGUGGUAGGGGGAGCACUUUCCUACAUCACAAUGCCCAGGUGCUUUUGAGCACUUAAUCUGCCAGCUUGUCAGGCAGGUCUGUGGUCUCAGGUGCUGACUGACUGGCCAAAGAGUUAUGGGGAGGGGCAGCUAAACCCCUGUGGCCACAGUCAACCCCUUCAGAGCACAGGGGCUCUUCUUGGGACCUCUGAAGCCUGGACAAGAGGAGAGAAGCAGAGAAACCUGGGGGCACCAUUAUGAUGCGCCACGCAGUGGAGUUGCGUGGGUGGGAGAAGCACACGGCUCUGGGUCUUCAGAACUGGCCCCCAAGAUGAUGAAACAGGCGUGGAGAGGAUGAGUAACUUUCCCAAGGGCUGAUGCCUGGGCUCCCUGCUCACCCAGACCUUCCUGAGGAGUGACACCCCUCCUGCCUGCUGACCUCCAGGUUGUCUCCUCCUCCUAGGUCCUGGCUCCCUGGCUCUCCUUGCACACAGGUGGCUCUUCCUAACCCUCUAUCAUCAAAUGUCCUGCGUGAUUUGGGGCAUGUGGCAGAGAUUGCUGACAGAUCACCAAACCCAUUGCAUCUCCUUUCUGGGCACACAGCGAGGCUUCAUUUUCUAGCAUCACUUGCAGUUUAGUUGUGUCCUUGGGAAUGAAUUCUGGCCAAUGGCACGUGAGGUGGUAUGCGCCACUUCCAGGCCUCACCAUAAAGAUGUCCCAGGUAGAAGCCUCCGUGUCAGCAAAUUUUGAUUCACGUUGCAGAGAUUAGAUUUGAAGCUCAGAAAGACCUUGCUUGAUUGGACAAAGAGGCGCAGUGCACUGCCGGCAGAGGCCUUCCUCUGUGCUGUCUCUAGCAACUUUCUGUUGCCCCGCCCUGGGCUGAGAACAGGCGGAAGUCUCCAUGGACUGUGUCUGUGGGUCUGGGGUCCUUCUGCUUCUACUGCUCUCUGCUCCCUCCUGGGAGGUGUCUUCAGCGAGGCACGUGCUCCAGCUGAAGCCAUCUCAGUCUAAACCGAGUUAGAAGGAGUGUCAUACUAGCUGAAGAGGCUGAGUCAAGUGUUCAUCAAGCCGUAAAUGAACAGCUGCCUCCCUCUUUGAGCCCGAUGCCUGGAUUAUUCAUUCCUUUUGGCUUUCAGAUCCUUCUUUUGGAUCCAGACAGAAACUGC
rnacentral:lncRNA from 1 species